rnacentral:rRNA from 1 species
UACGUAUGGGGCAAGCGUUGUCCGGAUUUAUUGGGCGUAAAGAGCGUGUAGGCGGCCUGACAGGUCUGCUGUGAAAACUCGAGGCUCAACCUCGAGAUGUCGGCGGAAACCGUCUGGCUAGAGUCCGGAAGAGGAGAGUGGAAUUCCUGGUGUAGCGGUGAAAUGCGCAGAUAUCAGGAAGAACACCUAUGGCGAAGGCAGCUCUCUGGGACGGUACUGACGCUGAGACGCGAAAGCGUGGGGAGCGAACAGG